rnacentral:rRNA from 1 species
GACGAACGCUGGCGGCGUGCUUAACACAUGCAAGUCGAACGGAAAGGCCCUGCUUUUGUGGGGUGCUCGAGUGGCGAACGGGUGAGUAACACGUGAGUAACCUGCCCUUGACUUUGGGAUAACUUCAGGAAACUGGGGCUAAUACCGGAUAGGAGCUCCUGCUGCAUGUUGGGGGUUGGAAAGUUUCGGCGGUUGGGGCUGGACUCGCGGCUUAUCAGCUUGUUGGUGGGGUAGUGGCAUACCAAGGCUUUGAGGGAUAGCCGGCCUGAGAGGGUGACCGGCCACAAUGGGACUAAGGGAGGGCCCAGAAUCCAACCGGAGGCAGCGGGGGGGAGUAUUACACAAUGGGCGGAAGCCUGAUGCAGCGACGCCGCGUGCGGGAUGACGGCCUUCGGGUUGUAAACCGAUUUCGACUGUGACGAAGAGUGAGUGACGGUAAUGGGUAAAGAAGCCCCGGCUAACUACGUG